rnacentral:lncRNA from 1 species
UGAGGUACAUUGAUUUUUUAUUUUGUUAUUUACAAGUUAUAUUGCUAAACGAAUUAACAAAGUUAGAGGAGUUGCUAGGCCCUACAUCCAUUUCCGGACUUAUUAAUAUGUACCCAUUUGAUUCUUGGAAAAAAACUUUUAAAUGCCUCAUGAACUUAGUUCAAUUGUCAUAUCCCAUUAGACUCCAAAAUAUAAGCUUGUUUAACUCCAAUGUGUGUAAACAAAGUAAAUGUAAACAGACACUAUAUACCCUCAAAACAUGGUUCCAACUAUAAGUGUGAUAUAAUGGACGGUAAGUCCUUGCAUCCAUAUCUCUGUCUAUGAAUUUGAGAGUGGUUACAUGUCUCCAGCCCCAUCCCUCAGCUUUCCCUCAACCCAAACCUAAAAACACAUUCAUUUAAUUGAGUUGUGGGAAUAAGGUAUAUGUUUAUCUUCAGACAACUUCAUCCUAAAAAUGUCUGACUACAUUGUGAAGAUCGAGGGAACUGGUCCCGAGGAGUCCGAGGCAUCCCCUGAGAAGUCCAGGGACCAGUCACCUGAGCCUGCUGUCCUGCCCAUGACAGAUGUGUCCUUCCCUGGAGCAAUGGAACACACGGUGAAAAAUAAUGAGAUGCUUAGCUCCUUGGAUCAAGUGAUGGACAGUCAAACACAAGAAAAUGGUGAACAAGUGGAAGCAACUGAAAGUCAGAGAAAGAGACUAAAGGGAAACCUAGGUUCGUCCUCUGUUGGGUGUUCACUUGGAUGUAUUCCAAGCUUUGACUCAGUGUCCCUUACAUCUACAGUCAACACGGAUAACAACUCAGGGGAGAGCCUAGAGCAGCUGCAGUACCAAGGGGCCCUGAGGGUGGAUACAUGUGAUGAGGUGGAGGUCAAGGUGCUAGAUAUCGACUUAUCUUCAUUCACCCUGAACCGGAUUUCCUUCUCCAGUAUUCUUCAGGAGGAGAACGACAGAGUGCUGGACAAGGACACUAUGGAUUGUCGCUCUCUGUCGAGAACAGUUCCCUUUGAAAGCAGCCCAAUUCCGGAGAGGAGUGGAAGCUUGAAGACGUAUUGCAGUAGUGUACGGUCGCCCACCCCGUACCAGUCAAGAUUAUCCCUUACCUCCACUGAGGCACAUGAUCAGGUUGCACACAGCUCAGGCACACAAGUGAGCCUCCAAAUCCCAAUGGACCCUCUGGAGGAGCUUUUUGGUAUCACUCAGGAUAUGAUAUACACAGACGUCCAUGAUAGAGUGAUUGAAGUGCUGCAGGACAUCUACUUGGCGGCUAACCAGCCAGAGCAACAGCUAUUCCAGAGUGUCUCUGACAGGCAAGCUAGAGCCAUUGUAAAGGCGGUAGUGCAGCAGAUCAAUGCCGCCCUCUCCAGGGCUCUCCAACAAACCUGCUCGGGAUCACAAUUACUUACUAUAGUGGGAUCUGCCAAGCUCUAUAGCAAAGAUGGGUUGGCAGCGGUGGAGGGCCAAGGAGUUCCUUUGAUAACCUCGUCAGCAGAGGGAGACAGGGAUGGCAACAAGGAAGGAAGUAGACCAUUGAAACGUUGUUUUAACAGCUUUGUUCGUGUUUUGUCAGCAAAAAUGAGGAGUAUCUCCAAGGGGAUCAAACAGAGCAGCGAGAGUGCACAACAAGAGCACAGGCUAGUUGUUGAGCUGCCAGCAUCAUUUGACGAGGGUACAGAGCAAGAGGCAGCAGAGAAAGCUGGAUCUAGUACAGUUUCUGAACCCGCUAGGGAGGAGAUCACAGAGGUCAGUGAAGUUCUUCAGUCGGAAUCUGAUGAUUCUCUACUUCCCUCCAUCGGGGGAAUGCUCUUCCACGUUGGAUCCGUGCCUCAUACAGAGGAUUCAGUGGAACUAUACGGCAAGGUCCCAUCAAAGUUAACACCAGAAAGUAUGGUGCAGGAAGAACGUGUUGAUGAAGGCUUGUCUAAGGUUUGUUCCAGGACAACUUCUUCAACCAGCACCACUUUCAGCAUGGACGAUGUCCAGAAGACUGUUGCUACUUUGACCACUUCUGGAAGUGACAGGGGUAGAAGCAUCAUCACUACCCCAGAAACUCCAGAGCAGAGUCUGCACCACCAGGGAGGUGGACUGGACACCCCUGUCUCCUCAGAGAGAAGAUUGGCUGAAAGUGGCAGAAAGAGCCCUUCAACUUGGUCAGACGCAGAGGGAUUAAGUUAUGCAAAAAAGUCUGUGUCGGAGUUAAUGGAGAGGAUGGUGCUCAGCCGUGAGGAUGCAGCGUCAGCAGAGAAGAGCCUGGACAUCCUCCUCUCCUCUGGUAUUCUUCGUCCUCACACUGACAAGUUAGUCGACCAGCUGCGAAAACUUUUGAUGGUGAACAGCACACUUACAGCACAAUCUGUGUCUGGCAGGUCAAAAUCAGAAUCUGCUCUGCCGAAGUCCAGCAUGACAGGGGAACUCCAAAGGGAGAUCUCAAGGAACGGUUUGCUGGAGAUAGCAUAUACUAUCACCGAGAGAUCUAUAAAGACCCUUUUGGAGCAGCUGCUCACUGCCCUCCUCCCUCCAUCUGUAGUGGUUGAGGUUGCCAGGUCAUGUCAGAACAUCCGACCAGCCACUCCCUCUCAGGUGAUGAGUUCUGAAGUUAGCCCAGGGUGCUGCAACCCUCUGUCAAUGAUUUGCCGUGUGAUCAUAGAUGUCUUUACGAUCACAAGACAGGUGGUUGAGACAGCCAGUGAAAUGGAUAUGUCUUCCCCCGGAGAGAACAUUGAUGGAAGGCUUUGUAGCAACACAGCACCACUGCCCACUGAUUCAACCCCAUCUGUCCACCCGAUCAACCGUGAGUGCAACAGAUCUUUGGUGACCAAACCAACAAACAAAGUCAAGAGCUUGACAUUCUCAUUUCCUAAGCUCCCAAAGAUCAGUCUCAUAAAGAGCAAGAAAGUCAACCAAGGGGAUAUCGCUCCCCUUGAGACCACCAAGGAUCCUGCUGAUGUCGACUAUAGUAUAUUCUGCACUACUCCAACACCAGAGAAUGCACAACGACAAGAGGAAGAUCUGGCCUCCUGCUCCUCACAGAGGAAGGAAAGGCCAAAUAACCCAUUCUUUUUAAUCCGGGUAUACUCUGCCAAGUCUAGGCUUGAAAACAGCUAG